UCUCCUAUCUGAGCAACUCCACACCAACAAAUCACAGGAAGGGUAGAAGCUGAACGAACCCCCCUCCCUCCCCCGAAGGAAUGUAAGAAGCAGAGAUGGGGGCAUGCCGUUGCCUCUGAGAGCCUGCGCCACUGCAACAUACAGACGACGACGCACCCCAUUCAUUCUGUCAGAGGCGAAGAGAGAAGCAGAGAGGCUCAUAGCAGUGGUGUCAGGAUUCAUCAAAUUCAUUGUUUUUAUUGUUUUCCUUAGGGACCCUCGAUCGGUAUGAUUUUUUUUUCCCAACGAGCAUGCUUGCAAUCUGUCGACACCGUGAUUGAUGCCAUAGCCAGUAUGUAAGCUUCUCCCGUCGGCAGGUGAAUCCGCAUAUUCGCACUUAACGUCAUAAUUUUGUCCAGGAGUAAGUCCUUCUUAUAGCCGUUCUCUUGAGUGUAGUACUGCCGCACUUGGGUUGAUCAUACCUGUGCAAAGGGAGUAGUCGUUGGGGGAAAAAUCACACUGCAUAAAAGGGGUUCUGCGUUGGUUGCGGGAGUGCCGGUGACAGUGGAGAUCAUUGCAUGUGCUGAGAGGUGUUCUUGCGCCUUCGUGGUUCGUCGGUGAAAGAUUUUGGAGAUUGAUUGCAAAGGCGGUGGUGCCGGGUUUAUUAGGUUAGGCGUUGGUACUGUGUGGGGUUCGGGAGGUGUGCGAGGCUGCAGCUUUGGAUUAUGUUCAUGUGGAAUGUGAGUAGAUUGAGUCGGUGGGUUUAGUCAAGAGAGGAUGGAGCAGCGGGUUGAUCUUUCUUGUUGCCAUCGAUGAAUGACAAGGGACAAUGACUGUAUGUAUCGGUUGAGUGCCAGGAGUAGGUAGUGGCAACUGUGGGUUUCUUGUGUUCAAUGGAACCGUAGUGGUCAUCUUUCCAUGAUCCUCGCAACGUCCAGACUCCCGCCAUGUCCAUUGUGGGAUGAGUCUUCUGAAUCGUAUAGCAGACAUGGCGAUGUUUACUUACACGUUCUUGUUUCUAUCUAUUCUUUGCUCCUCCAGUUCUAGAACAUGAGAAGAAAAUUUUCUAUGACCAGUACAAGCUUUCCUGUCGUCAGGAACUUCCCACUGCUAUCUCUCCGUUGAUUGCUGCUCCAUCACCGAAAGCGGUGACUAAAGAGAGCUAAAUCUGGCUGCGCUUCCCAAUAUUCGUUGGCGUCUGAUCAUACCUUGGAUCAACAUGGCGACAGUUGACGACAGUUUCCGAGCCGUGAUAUUAAUGCUAAUGUUGACGACGUUGGCAACGAGCACUCAGCAACCAGGUCCCAAACUGGGAUUUUUCAACUACUCGGGGAUGCAGGCAAUAAUUUGCUGCAUGGAUCACCCUGCCAAGACUUUGGAAGCGGGGGAUACCGUCUCCAUUCCGCUCACGCGCAGCGACCAGGCUUGCAUUGUAACCCUCAAAGACGGGGAGCACGCCACCGCCGUAAUUGACAAGGUGUUGCCCAGCCUCCACAACUUGGGCCAUUCUGUCUCUGUGGACAUCAACGAUACGUUCCUUUUCUUCGCUCUGGAUGAUACCCAAUAUCACCAAUAUGUCAACUUUCUCGAUUCUCAGGACAAGCAGAUCCCGAUCCAGAGGUCCUCCGAUCUCCAGCUAUGGACUAUGGAAGAGACCAUGAAUGACUGAUGAUGUCUUACGUAAUCCUUUCGGACCUUCCAACUUGUGGUCAAACAAGCAGCGAUGAGAUAAAGCGAAGCUCUCAUCGACCUUUGUGGAGCUGGAGCAAAUCACGGGGUGUAUCCAAAGCACGAGAUCAAAUACUCCCUCAACUAUAGAAGAUACUCGAAGCAAGCAACAGAAGAAUCUCAAGUUGCAUACAUACCGCAACAAGGAGGCCUCAAUCUCAGGUGCCAUCUGGUUCCACACCCCAUCCCUUCUGUGCAAAAUGUGGUCAAAACGUGCCGUUGCUGCAUGAAGUUAGUUCACAAAACAACCAUAUAGUAGGCUUCAUGAAUAUGGAGAUUUGAACGUGGUGCUUUCUACAUUCUUCCUGGAGCUGCUUCCUCAUUGCUUUUGACAACAUCCCAUUGAGGAGCAUGUCCCUCAACCAGUUGGCACCCAUACACCUCAAGGAUCUCCUGCUUCAGUCUCGAAGGCCUCAUAAUUCUUGUUUCUGUAUUGUUCUGAUGCUUCAUGCACCAGACGUUGUUCCUCUUAAUUUGGGUCUUCAGAAGCAGACUUGGAAGGGAGCAUGCGUUGAGCGAUGGCCUUCCUCAGUAGCGCAUGUGGGUUGUUGGAAAGAUCCAGCCCUGGUCCUCGAGAAUAAACAUUUAUGUAUGCAUGUGUGUGUGUAUAUAUACAAAAAUGAUAUUUUGGUAAGUGUA